rnacentral:rRNA from 1 species
GACGAACGCUGGCGGCGUGCUUAACACAUGCAAGUCGAGCGGAAAGGCCCUUCGGGGUCCUCGAGCGGCGAACGGGUGAGUAACACGUGAGUAACCUGCCCCAGACUUUGGGAUAACCCUCGGAAACGGGGGCUAAUACCGGAUACGACACAGCUUCGCAUGGGGUCUGUGUGGAAAGUUUUUCGGUUUGGGAUGGGCUCGCGGCCUAUCAGCUUGUUGGUGGGGUGAUGGCCUACCAAGGCGACGACGGGUAGCCGGCCUGAGAGGGCGACCGGCCACACUGGGACUGAGACACGGCCCAGACUCCUACGGGAGGCAGCAGUGGGGAAUAUUGCACAAUGGGCGGAAGCCUGAUGCAGCGACGCCGCGUGAGGGAUGACGGCCUUCGGGUUGUAAACCUCUUUCAGCAGAGACGAAGCGUAAGUGACGGUACCUGCAGAAGAAGCGCCGGCCAACUACGUG